AUUCUACUCUUUUCUCUUUUAUGUGAAUCAGGUUGUGGAAAACAAGUCAAUAGAGUACACGUGGCAAGUGCUAAUCUGUUAUAGGGGUCCCUCUAAGAUGAAGUUGGUGAUCUGAUCUGCCCUUUUUAACGUGGUCUCACGAGAGACGUCCGAUAUGUAGAUGGACGGUGUGAGAUGACGCUGCCUUUUUCUUUGAGUGCUCUGACCACCGACUAUUUUGAUCUAUAAAUAAAUGAAAAUA